GCCUCUGUAGAUCACAGGGAGAUCGCCUCGGAUUUGUUACACGAUCCUAGUGACAAUGAGUAGUGAGGAGAAGUGGGUUCGAUUCCCGCCAGAGGCU